UACGUAGGGCGCAAGCGUUGUCCGGAAUUAUUGGGCGUAAAGAGCUCGUAGGUGGCUUGUCACGUCGGGUGUGAAAGCUUGGGGCUUAACUCCAGGUCUGCAUUCGAUACGGGCAGGCUAGAGUGUGGUAGGGGAGAUCGGAAUUCCUGGUGUAGCGGUGAAAUGCGCAGAUAUCAGGAGGAACACCGGUGGCGAAGGCGGAUCUCUGGGCCAUUACUGACGCUGAGGAGCGAAAGCGUGGGGAGCGAACAGG
rnacentral:rRNA from 1 species